rnacentral:rRNA from 1 species
AGCAGCAGCCGCGGUAAAACGUAUGUCACAAGCGUUAUCCGGAUUUAUUGGGCGUAAAGCGCGUCUAGGUGGUUAUGUAAGUCUGAUGUGAAAAUGCAGGGCUCAACUCUGUAUUGCGUUGGAAACUGUGUAACUAGAGUACUGGAGAGGUAAGCGGAACUACAAGUGUAGAGGUGAAAUUCGUAGAUAUUUGUAGGAAUGCCGAUGGGGAAGCCAGCUUACUGGACAGAUACUGACGCUGAAGCGCGAAAGCGUGGGUAGCAAACAGGAUUAGAUACCCCCGUAGUCCCUGUCUCUUAUACA